UACGAAGGGGGCUAGCGUUGUUCGGAAUUACUGGGCGUAAAGCGCGCGCAGGCGGUUCUUCAAGUCAGAGGUGAAAGCCCAGAGCUCAACUCUGGAAUGGCCUUUGAGACUAGAGAACUAGGGUACGGGAGAGGUGAGUGGAAUUCCGAGUGUAGAGGUGAAAUUCGUAGAUAUUCGGAGGAACACCAGUGGCGAAGGCGGCUCGCUGGCUCGAUACUGACGCUGAGGUGCGAAAGCGUGGGGAGCAAACAGG
rnacentral:rRNA from 1 species